ACCCAGAGUCUCUGUCCUAACAAAUUUGCCAUCGAAGCCAAGACCAAUACAGAAGGUGCAGGUAGCAAAUGCAGGAAGAGUUUAAGGGAGGGGAGGACCAAGGGUGAGCCUACGUGGAUGCUUGGGCAAGCAGUGCACCUGUCAGUCACACCUGUCUAUUACAUACGGUAUAUUGCUAUGAUUUAUAAGCCUCCCUAAAGUAAUGUGUUUUUAUGUGAGGCCUAUGGUACAGAGGCAGCAUGAAGAUGGUCUCAGGCAUCGGGGAGAAAGAGCAUGGGCCCAAAAUCUUCGAAGGUAUUCAUAGAAUCCAGGGCCAGAAGGAACCAUUGGGAUCAUCUAGUCUGACCUCCUGUAUAACACAGGCCAGAGAACUUCCCCAGAAUAAUUCCUAGAGGAAAAAUAUCCAAUCUUGAUUUAAAAAUUUUCAGUGAUGGAGAAUCCUCCAUGACCCUUCGUAAAUUGUUUCAGUUAUUAAUUACUCUCACUAAAAAUGUUAAAAAUGUUAAAAAUGUAUACCUUAUUUCCUGUCUGAAUUUGUCUAGCUUCAACUUCCAGCCACUGGAUCCUAUUAUACCUUUCCUCUGCUGGACUGAAAAGCCCAUUAUUAAAUAUUUGUUCCCCAGCUCUCUGAUUCUCCUGAAUUCUUGGACAUUAGAGCACCAGGACAGACCCUCAGGAAACCAGAAAGACCAGAUCAGAGUGAACCAGAAAAAGGAGGACAACUGGAUCAACUGACAUUGCAACCAUGGCAACAAACUAUUCUGGUUUAUGAUUAAAGCUCCUGCUCAGUAACGAACCCCCAGCCUAUGGCCCAGUUGUUCCAGGCUCUUAUGUAGAUGCCCAGUGGCCCGAGAGGAUCAGCUCUUGAUUUAAAGAAACUUCCCAAUGCCUUGAAAGCUCCUGACAGGGAUUAGGGAAGAAAUCAAAGUCCCAUUGCUCAUGGAAGUGCCAGGGCUGCUUUCUCAGUGCACCCAUGGGGUGCACAUUGCCCCAGAAGGGGCAGGAAAGGGAGAGGAGGAAGUGGGGCUAUGGUGUGGUGACUCUCCACACCUGAAUGUAGAGCAGGCCAUGAACACCACCAGAUGGUACCAAAUGUAAUCCCCAUACUCACCUGGGAGCAUAGGGAGCUCCCCCAGUGGUGAUGUGAUCCUGUACUGCCCUCAGUAAAGGGCUGUGACUAAAUGGCAUCAUUUAUUCCAUAGUAUUUUUUUCCUGUUUCCCCUACUUGUCCCAUCUGUCUUAAUUCUUCAGGCAACUUGGGUUCAGGAUUCGCUGCCUGGAAUCCCCACCUGAAAGCUAUCCUGGCAAGCUGAAGAUGUAAGCAGACUUGCACUUGGGAAGAGAAAAUUGAUGAGGAACUGAGGGCAUCACAGGAAAAAGAACAUCCUCUUGCAGGAAACAGACCAGAAUGGGAUGGCUCCCUACAAAUGUCCCUGCCCAGAGUGACCUAAACAGCAGUGUUCAAACCACUGAAAUAAGAGUGGUGCAAGACAAAGGAUUUCUCUAUUUUGCACAAUGUCAUUAAUCAAUAUAGCAUUUGACUGCCUCAGCUCUUUUCUUACGACAAGUUCCUGACUAGAGCUGGUGAAUAUUUUUGAAAUUUUGAUGAAAUCUGAGGGGGAAAACCAAGGCAUUUUUUAAAUAAAACUCUCAUUUUUUUCUGUUCUUUUGUCCAACUACACGGGUGUUUGAAAUGUUUUGAUUCUUCAAGAAAAGGGUAAGAAUUCUUUUAAAAAUUCAUAAAAUGUUUUCCCGCCUUUUUCCCCAACCAGCUCUGUUUUUGACCAACAGGCUUUUUCUAUCGAAUCAACAGUUCCAGGGACUUUGUCACUGGUAUUCCCUGAUCAUAUAUCAAAGUAGAACAGUACAUAGCUAGGAGAGAGAGAUGCUUUUCUUCUGAAAAUAUGUUUAACAUGGUGCAACCACCUGGAGCCAGAGUAUGGAUGUAUUCAACAAAACAAAAAUAAUUAUUUAAUGAGUUAAUCAAAUUAAAUAAACACACAUUUUGAAUGUU